CCCUUAGAUGUCCUGGGCCGCACGCGCGCUACACUGAGUGUCUGAGAUACGAGUCUGCCUGGUCCGGCAAGGUCUAGGUAAUCGCUAAAAGACACAUCAUGCUUGGGAUAGAUUAUUGCAAAUAUUAAUCUUGAACGAGGAAUUCCUAGUAAGCGCAAGUCAACAGCUUGCGUUGAUUACGUCCCUGCCCUUUGUACACACCGCCCGUCGCUACUACUGAUUGGACGUUUAAGCAAGAUUUUUAAACACUGACAGUUAAUGGCUUCGGCCAAGACACAGUGAGAAGAAGAAGAUCGAGCUUACUUGUCUAGAGGAAGUAAAAGUCGUAACA
rnacentral:rRNA from 1 species